rnacentral:lncRNA from 1 species
GGAAAAGCAAGGAAAAAUGUGGAAAAGGGUUUUUCUUUGUUUUGUUCUUGUUUUGCACGGCACUGUUAAAAAAAACUCAUUGUCUGGGUUCUUUAAUUUCUGUGUUUUUUUUCCUUUGUUGUUUGUUUCUAAGUUAGUAGAGUCGUGAGCUAAAUGUUUCUGGAGAUGUUAUCUUUUACAAUUUUAAUCAGAUUAUGGUUUCAAAAAA